CUCGCUUAAUCGCCUUCAUUGUUAAUUGUCCGAUUCAUUUCAUGACAAGAUUAAGCGAGCAUUCAGUAUGAGUAGGAGGUAUUAUUAAUCCUGUCAUGAAAUGAAUCGGACAAUUUCAUCAUCACCAUGCUCGCUUAAUCGCCUUCAUUGUUAAUUGUUAAAUAAUAAAAAAUAUGGAGAGAAAAGUGAAGAUGAAACCAUCAGAACAUCGGAUCAUUUUAUCAUCGGCGACACUUGACGUGUCUCAGACGACCGUCGUGAGAAAUUUUAAUCCAAUUUCAUCACUUGAUUUCACAACCCCACAAAAUCUUCAAAA
rnacentral:misc_RNA from 1 species